rnacentral:rRNA from 1 species
UACGUAGGGCGCAAGCGUUGUCCGGAAUUAUUGGGCGUAAAGAGCUCGUAGGCGGUCAGUCGCGUCUGCUGUGAAAACUCGAGGCUCAACCUCGGGCUUGCAGUGGGUACGGGCUGACUAGAGUGCGGUAGGGGUGACUGGAAUUCCUGGUGUAGCGGUGGAAUGCGCAGAUAUCAGGAGGAACACCGAUGGCGAAGGCAGGUCACUGGGCCGCAACUGACGCUGAGGAGCGAAAGCAUGGGGAGCGAACAGG